CUUGUCCUCACACUCUCCCCUCCAAGAUUUAAUGGCAUCCUGAUAUUUACAUGAUGGAUUUUGUUUAAGUUGAAGAAGCUGGAAAUAUUGUGACUGGUCAGCAUCCUCUUGGUCACUGCAUGAGGUUUCAGUCUGGUGAUCACCCUCAGCAUCCUGUGUGUCAGUGUCGUUCUCUCGUGUCUCCGUAUCCUCUUCCUGCUGACCCACCUGGUGUUCUGUGUUGUCCUCAUCAUUGAAAUCCUCUGCUCCAUUUUCUAGAUCGACCUCUGGUGCCUCUGUCCACAGAUGUUGCUCACCCUGUUCCCUGACUUCUGCUUGCAAUCCUGUAAUUCCUCUCCAGUUGUCCUCAUCCUCUGAACUGUGCUCUUGUUGCUUGUGUCUCUGCUUGCUUUUCUGUGUUCUCUUCCUUGGCUCUGCACGUGACACCAGAACACACUAUAGCGGAUUGAACGUUGCUUCCUCUUUGGUUUUAAGGUGGAGAUUUUUUUUCCACAAAUCUCUCAGCUGAGUGACUCUUUAGCUCAGACAAGCUACUAUGGAUUUUUGUUAUUGUUUUGAGUGAUGAGUACCACAGUAUGAUGCUUCCCCUCACCCCCCUUUUUUUUUUUUUUAAAGCUGUGAAUGAAGGUACAUCAUGUUGACACUACCGUUUAGAUUUAAAAGUAGACGGCCUUUUAGUUUCAUAAAAUCAGUGAAAUUUAGUUCCCUCUGAAAUGUGGUUAUUAUGAUGUUUAUUUCUGUAAUAUCUCACAAAAUCUCAGGCCAUUCUGUGGCUGAGAAGUUAUUUAAUUUGAGGGGAUUCCCGAGCAAAUUAUGUGUGUGAAAUCGCUCGCUUUGUGCAGUCAAGCAAACAGACGAAGUCCGGUGUACACGUGCAGUUUUACCUUUUGGUGUCGUCUUCUUCUUUUGGGUUUUACGGCAGCUGGCAUCCACAGUGUUUCAUUACUGCCAUCUGCAGGUUUAUCUUUGACCGUGCACUGAUAGUUCCAUCAUUCUGUCGCUAAACGAACAGCUGAUUACACCGAGGUGCUCGCUGACCGCCAAUAUUUAUUAGUUUGGUCCUGCGUUUCCUUUCCUUCACAACAUAACGUCUUUUCUUCUCACUUUCCGUUACUGUAGUCGGUCUUUCACGUUUCAUUCGCAUCCUCCAUUUUUCUCUCCUGUUUCAAAUUUGUAUCCCACAAUGCCUUGUGCGAACGGGGAAAGCUGACCAUGUGAUGCGUGACAUAGUAUUGUGAACUGGAUCAUGGUGAAGCAGGAAAAAAUAGCAGAGAAUUUAGUGCCACGUGGCCCUAAGUUAAUUAAUUGUUCUAUUCAAAAAAACUAAUAAAAUUGGAAGUCUGUGAUUUCAAAUUCAGUAGCUUUCAGUCCACUAAACAAAAUUAAUUGGGUGUCAGGGAAAAUUCUUUUUAUGACCUCAACCUAAAAAAUCUGAAAGGCAGUCUACCUUUAACACUAAAUAAUUGUUUUCUGGCUCUAAAGUGCUUGAAAGAUAAAACACAAUGUGGCUCAAGCUGAAUGAGUGAUUCAGUAACCCGUUAGCUUCUGUUCACUUGUGUGUGUGUGUGUGUGUGUGUGUGUACAUUUUUAGAGCUGUAAGAUCUUUUAGUGAAACACUGCUGUACAAUAUGAAUGUGUUGUUGUUGUUGUUGUUGUUGUGUGUUUUUACCAUGGACACUUGUUUCAUACUGAGGUGUGUUGAUUCUAUUUGUGUUUUAUUAUUUUGGUGUGUGUUAUGAAUGUACCGGGGAGGGGGUGAUGGGUUGACUUGACACUCAGGUUGUACACCACAUUAAUAUUCAGUGUUUUUGUCCUGCAAUAAAAAUGUGAUGGACAGACAGUUCCAUAAAACAGAA